rnacentral:lncRNA from 1 species
AUGGGAUUUUGGGUCAAUUUGGGGUGAAAUUUGGGGGAUUUGGGGUCAUUUUGGCCCAAUUUUAUGGGAUUUUGGGGUCAGUUUCUGUGCUUUCGGGUCAACUUUGUCCUCAUUUUGGCGGGACUUUCAUGGGAUUUGGGGCCGUUUUAUGGGAUUUUGACUCGAUUUUAUGGGAUUUGGGGCUGUUUGGGUUCAUUUUGGGGUCAGUUUGGGGUGAAUUGGGGUCAUUUUGGGGUCGUUUUGGGGCUUUUUGGGGGUCAAUUGUGGGGCAUUUUUAUGGGAUUUUGGGUCAAUUUUAUGGGAUUUUGUGUCACUUUGGGAAAUUUUAUGGGAUUUUGAGUCAUUUUGGGUCGACUUUAUGGGAUUUUGGGACGUUUCGGGUUGAUUUUAUGGGAUUUUGGCUCAUUUGGGAACAAUUUAAUAGGAUUUUUUGGGAUUUUGGGUCAUUUUGGGUCGAUUUUAUGGGAUUUUGGUUCAAUUUGGGUCAAUUUUAUGGGAUUUGGGGUCAUUUUGGGUCGAUUUUAUGGGAUUUUGGGGUUGGUUUGGGGUCAUUUUGGAGGAUUUGGGGCCAAUUUUAUGGGAUUUUGGGACAUUUUGGGGGGAAAUUUGGGGCAUUUGGGGGUCAUUUUGGGUGGAUUUUUAUGGGAUUUUGCGUCUUUUGGGGUCAUUUUGGAGCAAUUUUAUCGGAAUUCGGGGACAAUUUGGGGGAUUUUAAUGGGAUUUUGGGUCAAUUUUCUGGGAUUUUGGGUCAUUUUGGGUCGAUUUUAUGGGAUUUUGGGUCGAUUUUAUGGGAUUUUGGGUCGAUUUUAUGGGAUUUUGUGUUGAUUUUAUGGGAUUUUGGGGUUAUUUUGGGGGAUUUGGGGGCAAUUUUAUGGGAUUUGGGGUCAUUUUGUGGGAUUUUGGGACAUUUGGGCUCGAUUUUAUGGGAUUUGGGGUCAAUUUCGGGGACUUUCAUGGGAUUUUGGGCCUAUUUUAUGGGAUUUUGGGUAAUUUUGAGGGGAAAUUUGGGGCAUUUUGGGGUCAUUUUGGGUAGAAAUUUGGGGGAUUUUGGGGUCAUUUUGGGUGGAUUUUUAUGGGAUUUUGGGUCAUUUGGGGCCAAUUUUAUGGGAUUUUCGAUCAUUUGGGGCCAAUCUUAUGGGAUUUUGGGGAAAUUUGGGGGAUUUUGGGUCAUUUUGGCCCAAUUUUAUGGGAUUUUGGGGUCAGUUUCUGUGCUUUUGGGUCAACUUUGUCCU